UGCCGCACCUUCACUAUCAUCUUCUACACCGUUGGUUGAUGGUGUUGUUAGAAUCAUAUAUAUUAAGUUCCUCUCUUUUUCUUUUCUCUUGUAUCUCUUGUCUUUUCUGUCUUCCAUUCUCUAAGGCAAGUUCUAAAUCAAUACUUCAUUUCACUUUCAAGUUUCAAAUUUCUCCCUUUCUUCCACCAAAUCUCAUCCUUCUCUUUUCCACCACUCACAUCCUCGCAAGCCAUUCGAAACUUGUUGAAGGUAACACAAAAACCGACAGGGUUUGACCCGCAUAGAACAAAGUAGAGUUUGCAUGUCCCUAAUUGAGCAAAAAUGAUUGAUUCGGUUCUUGAAAUAUGUUCUAUGUCUGAGUAAUGGAAAUACAGCCUACAUAGUAUUUAACUACUAUGUUUACUUAACGGAUGAACAACUUAUCACUGCUGCUUCAAGGAAGCAUAACGAAAUGGGUAAUAACAAUUCAGCUGCCAGAAUAUACUGGAAUGAUUAUCUGAUGAAUCAGAUUCUGGUGAUCAUAUUUAUGUCCUGCAAUGUCGCAGACCUUGCAGCUGCCUUGCUCAUUUGCAAAACCUAGAAUAAAGCUUGUCGUGGCCCAUUUCUUUGGACUUGCCUCAACUUCUUUGGAAAAACAAACACAUUUUCCAUUUCAAUUUUGUCAUCCAGAUGUGUAAAAGCAAAGGAAUGGUACGACGUUAGCUUGUACCAUUUGUUAGCGUGAUUACAUUGUUGAUAAAUUUCUGUCUUUUUGGAUAUUAUGCCAGGAUUUUUAUCCUUAUUGCCUAUAACAACUGUUCAAGCUAGUCAAAUAGAAAGUGCUCUUGUGAAUGUCCAUAAGCAAUGUGUGACAAAACUAGCAAACAUGAAAGUGCAAGGAAGACUCCAAUUGUUGAUCAUAAUUUUGCCUGAUGUCAAGGGGUCUUAUGGUGUGUGUAUGUCUUCAAUUUCAUGUUCACACUAAAACUAAUUUGAUUUUAUUAUCUUAAAUCUGUCUUGUUCUGACAGGGAAAAUAAAGUGCAUAUGUGAAACUGAACUAGAAAUAGUCUCAUUGUUAUCAGCGAGACAAGUUGCAAAAGAUGAACAUGCAAUAUGGAAAAUAAAGUGCAUAUGUGCUAUUUUAUCAUCUUAAAUUUCAAGAUAUUGCAUAAUCGUCUUUCCAACUUGUCUUGGCAGACAAUACUGAGAAACUAUUCCUAGGUCAGUUUCACAUAUGCGUUUAUUAAUUUCCUGUCAGAACUAGAAAUAUUUAAGAUGAUAAAAUCAAAUUAUUGUUUUAGUUUGAACAUGCAAGACACUCACCAUAAGACCCCUUGACAUCAGGCAAAAUUCUGAUCAAUAAUUGGAGUCUUCCUUGCACAUCCAUGUUUGCUAGGUUUGUCACCCACUGCUUAUGCACAUUCACAAGAGCACUCUCUAUUUGACUUGUUAUAGGCAGUAAUGGAUCUGGAUAAAACUCCUGGCAUAAAAUCCAAACAGGUAAAGAAAUUUAUCAACAAUGUAGCCAUAUGAUAAUCACACUAACAAAUGGUACAAGCUAACAUCGUACCAUUCCUUUGCGUUUACACAUAUCUGCCAAAGGAUGACAAAAUUAAAAUAGCAAAUCUCUGUUUGUUCUUCCAGAGAAGUUGAGGCAAGCCCGAUGAAAUGAUUCAUGACAAGCUUUAUUCCAGGUUUUGAAAAUGAGCGAGACAGUCAAAGAUUAGUUUGUAACCAGGGAAGAAUAAUGUAUUAAUAUCUCCUCAGACAGUCAAAUAUUUCAUAGAAAUUAUAGUAUUAGUCUGUUAAUCAUAAUUAAGCUUAUGUACUAGAAAAAAAUACAUUAGUGAUGAAGCACCUUACUUGUAAUUUUGAAAAUUUUCGUUACUAAAAUUUUGAAAAUUUUAGGAUAGAUGUAGGGUCUGGACAUAAAACCUUUUUAUAGAAGAAUCCAUGGAUUACUGGUGGUGUUUUGAGCUAGAGAUUUACCAGGUUUUGUUUUAAUUAUCAAAUAAGAAGAAUGCAUUUGUGUCUGAUCGAGUUAG